ACUCGAGUGGCGAACGGGUGAGUAACACGUGGGUGAUCUGCCCUGCACUUCGGGAUAAGCUUGGGAAACUGGGUCUAAUACCGGAUAGGAGCCAUCUUUAGUGUGGUGGUUGGAAAGUUUUUCGGUGUAGGAUGAGCUCGCGGCCUAUCAGCUUGUUGGUGGGGUAAUGGCCUACCAAGGCGGCGACGGGUAGCCGGCCUGGGAGGGUGUACGGCCACAUUGGGACUGAGAUACGGCCCAG
rnacentral:rRNA from 1 species